rnacentral:rRNA from 1 species
AUUGAACGCUGGCGGAAUGCUUUACACAUGCAAGUCGAACGGCAGCAUGACCUAGCUUGCUAGGUUGAUGGCGAGUGGCGAACGGGUGAGUAACGCGUAGGAAUAUACCCUAAAGCGGGGGACAACUUGGGGAAACUCAAGCUAAUACCGCAUAAGCUCUAAGGAGUAAAGCUAGGGACCGCAAGGCCUGGCGCUUUAGGAAUAGCCUGCGUCCGAUUAGCUAGUUGGUAGGGUAAAGGCCUACCAAGGCGACGAUCGGUAGCUGGUCUGAGAGGAUGAUCAGCCACACUGGAACUGAGACACGGUCCAGACUCCUACGGGAGGCAG